AAAACUGUGAAGUUUAAUAUUGUAAAGACUAAAAAAACAACAAAGACAAAAUAUCAAGUUUUCAGCAAAAGAAACAAUUAAAACAUUUUCAAUAUAAAACUUAUUAGGCCUGAAGCUCCUAUAUUUAAUGUGGAGAAGUUCUUCCUGUGGUUUGAUCCCAGCUUGUUUUCCACGCAGCCCGAGUGGACAGGAACACUAGAGAAACAAAGCUGCUGCAGAAACAGGAGGUCUCACUUUGACGUAAACUGAAGAAAGCGACACGAGGCGCCAGCCUGGUCCCUGCUUCUGGAUCAGAGUGGGAGCUCCCGUCCGGACUGUGACCUUUGAACCUGCGGGGUGUCAGCUGUUGCCUGGACUCUGCUCUUCUGUCAGUCGUUUGAUUUCCACUAUCAUACAAAUAAAACUUUUACAAAA